rnacentral:lncRNA from 1 species
AAAUUGACAAAAAGAGAAGCUGAAUUGCCUUGGCCUCCAGCUUUCCGUCAGGAAUGAGGUUGAAGUGAUUAAAGAGCUUUGCAAUAAAGCCCUGCAUGUGCUUACUAACUGUGCAUUGGGUUUCUUUGUGACUUUGGAGCCUGUUCCCC